GGUGAUCCGGAGGACAGCAAGGAGCCCACCCAGCCUCGCCUCAGCUCUGAGCCUCAAACUCAGCAGUUGUCACUGCUGUCUAUCUGCAGUCUCUGGACCCAUCCCGAGGGCAGGGCAGGGCAGGUCAAGGUGGGAAUAAUGGUUCUCCACAGGGCACCAGGCCCAGCUGAGCAUCAGCACAGUGCCAGGAGCUCUGGCUGUGCCCCACCUGAGGCUGGUAGAUGGGGCAGAUGGCAGGUGACAGGCUGUGAGGCACUGCACAGUGGUAAAAAGUGGCAGUGGGCACCAGGCCAGGCCCAAAGCCACACAGCUGUCCUCACCACACGGGGCCAAGAGCAGCCUCAGCAACAGGCAGUGGCUGUCUCUUGGGGCUCUGGCUGAAGAGAAGUAGCCAGUGGCUCCAGACCCAGGGGCAGAAGAAGGCUGCUGUCUGUCUGAGGGGUAAAGUGCCAAGCAAGUAAAGUGCAGGGGCUGCUGGGAAGCUGACUGGAUAGCCAGGUGGAGGCAAGCCUGCUGCAUGCCUGGCACAGUGCUGGAUACAUUGUGAGGACCAAACUGUCAACCCCCAUACCCUGUGGCCUCUGAGCAGCAAGCAUCUGUAACCCCCUUGUGAGGACCUCCACAUCAUAGGUCAUGGAGACUAAAGGACUGAGCUUAUCCCAGCACCAAAGUCCUUAAUAAAGCUGCUAUUACCCA
rnacentral:lncRNA from 1 species